AUGAGUGAUAAAAAGGUUUUACAGCAUUUCUUAGGAAUUGUAAACUAUGCGCGAAACUAUAUAGACAACAAGUUAGCAGGACCUUUAUAUGCUAAAUUAAGGAAAAAUGGUCAAAAAUACUUCAAUUCUGAAGAUAUAAAAUUAGUAAAGGCCAUCAAGGAAAAGGUCAAGAAUUUAAAACCCCUAGAAUUGCCUCUAGAAGACAAUUAUUUUAUAAUUGAGACAGAUGCAUCUAAGGUAGGAUGGGGUGCGAUACUAAAACAAAAACCCAAUAAAUACUCCCCAAAAGCAGAUGAAAAAAUAUGCAGAUAUGCUUCGGGAAGUUACAAAUUAAAGACGAUAAAUAAUAUUGAUAGGGAAAUCCUUGCAGUUGUAAAUGCAAUAAAUGCAUUUAGGCUAUAUCUAGGAUUUAAAGAAUUUACAGUGCGAACAGACUGUGAAGCUAUAUGUCGAUAUUACAAUAAAAUUAAUAAAAUGAGGAAAGGAUUAUUCGCCAACAAGGAUGAAUAUCUCUUCUUUGGAGAAGAAAAUAGGCUGAAAAUGUUUAAGCCAAAUAUAUUCAAUUUCAAGCCAAAAUCCCAUAUUAAGCUUGAUGAAGCUCAAAGAUGCAUAUUGGAUAACUUUUGGUUCCAAUAUACUCUCAAGAGAGAGGAAAAAAUGAUAUUUUUUUUAUCAAUUCUCAAUAGUUUGGCAGAAUAUUUUAAUGAAUUAAACAAAAAUUUGCCAAAGCCAGAAAAGAUUGAAAUACCAAAAGGAGAAACACUAUAUCUUAUAUUUGAUGGAAAUAAACCUGGCAUAUAUUUGGAAUGGGAAAAUAUAAUGAUUGAAAAAGUAGAUGCAAAAAUAAAAGGACAAGAUUUAACAUUCAAAAGAUAUUAUAAUAUAGAUGAUGCCUUACUUUGGGCAAGAAAGGUAUUAGGACCAGAUUAUUAUAUUGACCCAAAGGCUAAAGACUAUAUCCAAAUAAAAAGAGGCAUACCUGCUUCACCAACUCCCACAAAGGGGGAGGCAUCAAGCUCAAAAAAUAUAAAGAAGGAAGAGUCUUCAAAAUAUAAGACAUAUCAAGAAUGCCUUCUAAAGGGGCUUGACCCUUUAGACAGUGAAUACAUAGAUCAAGAAAUGCAUAAAAGAUUUAAAGAAUUUUCAAAAAUAAUAAAUAAAGAAUUGAAAGAAGAAAUAUUAAAAGAAUUAAGGCAUGAAAUGGACGAAAAAUUUGAAGAAAUAAAGAAAGAAUGCGAUCAAAAAUAUGAUUUCAAUCUGUUAAACGAUGAUGAUGAUCAUAUGGACAUAGCAGGGCAUGGGCAGCGACCUGAAUAA
rnacentral:rRNA from 1 species